rnacentral:misc_RNA from 1 species
AACAAGGCGUACCUGCGGACCUGCGGAGGGAUCAUCAUUGAAAACAAAUUUGGACAAGGGGAUUGUGAUUGACGGGGGAGGGGAAGGUUUUAUUUCCUGAGCCUUGAGAGAACAACCUCUUGGACAAACAACCAAUCUUCAUGACUAGGAAAAAACACAGUAAAGUAAACCAGUGGUUUGGGGGGGGGCAUAAACAACAAACAAGUUCUUGUCUGACAAGUAGUGUUUGGUGAUACUGAU